UACGGAGGGGGCUAGCGUUGUUCGGAAUUACUGGGCGUAAAGCGCACGUAGGCGGCUUUGUAAGUUAGAGGUGAAAGCCCAGGGCUUAACCCUGGAAUUGCCUUUAAGACUGCAUCGCUAGAAUCGUGGAGAGGUGAGUGGAAUUCCGAGUGUAGAGGUGAAAUUCGUAGAUAUUCGGAAGAACACCAGUGGCGAAGGCGGCUCACUGGCCCGAUACUGACGCUGAGGUGCGAAAGCGUGGGGAGCGAUCCGG
rnacentral:rRNA from 1 species